UUGGGGCCAAUGAAGAAAUGCAGC
rnacentral:piRNA from 1 species